GAUGAACGCUGGCGGCGUGCCUAAUACAUGCAAGUCGAGCGAACAGACGAGGAGCUUGCUCCUCUGACGUUAGCGGCGGACGGGUGAGUAACACGUGGAUAACCUACCUAUAAGACUGGGAUAACUUUGGGAAACCGGAGCUAAUACCGGAUAAUAUAUUGAACCGCAUGGUUCAAUAGUGAAAGACGGUUUUGCUGUCACUUAUAGAUGGAUCCGCGCCGCAUUAGCUAGUUGGUAAGGUAACGGCUUACCAAGGCGACGAUGCGUAGCCGACCUGAGAGGGUGAUCGGCCACACUGGAACUGAGACACGGUCCAGACUCCUACGGGAGGCAGCAGUAGGGAAUCUUCCGCAAUGGGCGAAAGCCUGACGGAGCAGCGCCGCGUGAGUGAUGAAGGUCUUCGGAUCGUAGAACUCUGUUAUUAGGGAAGAACAAAUGUGUAAGUAACUAUGCACGUCUUGACGGUACCUAAUCAGAAAGCCACGGCUAACUACGUG
rnacentral:rRNA from 1 species